rnacentral:rRNA from 1 species
UAGGGAAUCUUCGGCAAUGGACGAAAGUCUGACCGAGCAACGCCGCGUGAGUGAAGAAGGUUUUCGGAUCGUAAAACUCUGUUGUUAGAGAAGAACAAGGACGUUAGUAACUGAACGUCCCCUGACGGUAUCUAACCAGAAAGCCACGGCUAACUACGUGCCAGCAGCCGCGGUAAUACGUAGGUGGCAAGCGUUGUCCGGAUUUAUUGGGCGUAAAGCGAGCGCAGGCGGUUUCUUAAGUCUGAUGUGAAAGCCCCCGGCUAAACCGGGGAGGGUCAAUGGAAACUGAGGGACUUGAGUGCAGAAGAGGAGAGGGGAAUUCCAGGUGUAGCGGUGAAAUGCGUAGAUAUAUGGAGGAACACCAGUGGCGAAGGCGGCUCGCUGGGCUGUAACUGACGCUGAGGCUCGAAAGCGUGGGGAGCAAACAGG